rnacentral:rRNA from 1 species
GGACUACGGGGGUAUCUAAUCCCGUUUGCGCCCCAGGGCUUCGUCCCUCACCGUCGGAUUCGUUCUAGUGAGACGCCUUCGCCACCGGUGGUCCUUCUAGGAUUACAGGAUUUUACCCCUACCCCAGAAGUACCUCUCACCUCUCCCGAUCCCAAGUCUUGCAGUCUCCCCGGACUUCGAACAGUUAAGCUGGUCGAUUUACCCAAGGAUUUACAAAACCGGCUACGGACGUUUUAGGCUCAAUAAUAUCGACCACCACUCGGGCCGCGGGUAUUACCGCGGCGGCUGGCACCCGUCUUACCCGGCCCUUACUUCUCUGGUUUUUUAGACCAAAGAACAGCCAACACAAUGUGCUGGCACUUGGAAUUCCCUCAUCGGGGUUUCCCCCAUUGUGAAGUUUUCGCGACUGCUGCCCCCCAUAGG